UUUAAUUGAUCAUUACUGUUUUAAGUACCUAGUUUAUGCUUUGAAAGUGGGGCAAUCUAUUAGCAUAAUUCUUGGAACAGUCCAGAUGAAAGGGCUUUCCAAUGGAAGGGGCCCCUCAUCUGGCUCAGGAAGAGAAGGGAGUUAUGGAGAUUUCAGGGAGAGACAAAGGGCAGAAUAUCUUGGGUAUAAAAUGCCCGAAGAGAGCACAGAUCUGUGGCUCAGGAGACUUGCUUCAAGCCCAAGCCAGCCAGUUGAGAUCACAACACAUCCCUAACCUAAAACACUAGGUCACCUAACGAAAAAACUUGGUUAAACAGAUGGUGUCACACACUACACAGAGAUACGGCCUCAAAACAUUUCUUUCCAACAUUCCAUAUUGACAACAAGGAACAGCGUCCCACAUCAGGGUUUGAAUUCUGUGGUCUUGUCAGCUUCGUGGUGAUAAAGGCAGUUUGUGUUCCUUGGCCCCUGGGUAUCCUCCUUUCUGAGUAAGAAGGCCUUGUCUGCCUUUCGAAGCAGCGGACUUGCUACAGCUUAGAAUCUUGAAAAUAGUGUUCUGCUUAAUGUUGUCACUCAGUUUUUGGACAAGAAUGUUAUCCUUGGUCCUUCAUUAGUUGGGGUCAUUUAAAGUUGUUUUCCAAGAGCCCAGAGCAAAUAUAAUUAUAAUAUUAUUUUAAUAGCCUAGGAAACAAUAAAUAGGUUUCCACUGAAACAGAAACUUCAGCUGUAAGGUUUUAAUAAUAGUAUUUAGCACUUCCACAGUGUUUCCUGCCUUCAAAGCACAUUCUGCACUUUAAUUAGCUAGAAUGACUGAAACUGCUAUUGCAAAUGAAUGUCAAAGUCUAUGUCAUGUAGAUGAUGAAAGCAGGAAUUGUAAAAAGCAUUUCCUAGUCCCAGUUAAUCCUUGUAAGAAGGCUCUAUUACUUUAGACCAUAAAAGUUCUUAGAAAUCGAAUGUAGUCAUUAUCUAGGACCUUUUUUUCUUGUCAUAUUCACUAGUUAGUAACUCCAACCACAAAGUAACCCUACACUUAUAUUCAAAACUAAACAUGAUGUAAAACUUCAUUUCAGAAGACUUGAAGUCAAUUACUGAAGAAUUAACUACAUGGCCAUAUGACAUUUUCCUAUUGAUUAUCCAUCCACUAAUUUUAAAAUGAUCUGUUUGUAAUUCAGAAGAUACUCUAAUUCAAACAGAAUGUGGAUGUACGUUCGCCAGUGUGUUUGGACCCAAUCUCUUGAGUCAGUGGAUUUGAGAUGUUGUUCAAACAUCUACUUAAAAGCAUGGCACACAAUAUGAGGGCAACGAGGACGUUUUGCAGCCCUUCUUGAUCUUUCCUGACUCUCUGAUGGGGAGGCACCAUCUGUGAGAGAGGCUUCCUGGUCUCUGUGGACAGAUGCCCAAUUCCCCAGGCCAUCGAUGCCUUUCUCACCACAUCCCCAUGAGCCCCAGAGUGGGCAGGAAUGGACUUCUAACAAAGCCACCAUCUACCUUAAGAAGCGGGAAGCUAACAAAAAGAGAUGACAUGUAUUACUUUGUUCCUUUUAGAAGCCUAAAUGAUAUGAUGCGCAUGUUACCCUUCAUUGAAGAUUCUAGGUGGACAAACAACUUGGAUAUCAACAGGGAGCAGAAAACCCACUAGCAGGACCAAAAGGCAGACCCAUCAGCAGAACACAGGCGGCAGCUUCAACAAUUAAUUCCAAAACUGAAAGUCAAAUCCAGGAGAAGACAGGAAGCUCCAUUUUCUUUGAGCACUUAAUUGUAAAUUAAGAUUUGCUGAUGAUGACGGGCUAAUUUAAGCUACCAUGGAAAGAGGAAAGAAAUGGAAGCUGCCGACUGUAGGGAGCAGUACCUGUACUGCGCAGGGUUGCAGUGACCUAACAUCAAGAAAUAAAAACUCUGGAAAACUAGCCCUUCACAUAUAGAAGGGAAGGGCACAUAUUUGGCACUCAAUACAUGUAUAUCGAAUGAAUGAAUUAACAAAUGAAAAUGCCCGAAUUGAGGCAAACUCACCGACCCGGCAAGGAUUCAUCCUUCUAAGGGACGUGGCAGACACGUGAGCAGCUACUGCAAGCUUAGAGACGCUACUAGACAGACAAAAAGGAGUAAGGCUAUUUCGACCUACAAGUUAACCAAAAAAUUAGGAAAUAACUUAUCAGUGAGAAAAAAUGGGUACAUGUGCCAGUCCCUGUGUACCAAGGACUGGGCAGGAUUCCAUGCUUUUGCCAAGUUGGACAUAAUCUACAUAUGAGUAAACCUCAGACCUGCCAAUAGUCAAACAUUUGAAAAAUUAAUUUGUGACAACUGUUUUCACUUGGAACCAUGAUGGAUUUAACUAUUUUCUUAAAUGAGGCGUGUCAUUUUAUGCUAAAUUUCCAUUAAACAUUUCCCAACAUUUCUUUCUUCCUGAAGAACCACCAUGACCCCUAACUCCCUGACAACUCCAAAAUGUCACAGAAGGCCCAUUUUAUAAACAUAUUUGUGAAUGAGUUCCUUUUCUUAGCUAUUAGAUCAGCAAUUAUUUUCCCCAACACUGGCCCCUAAUCAGCCAUUUUGCUAAGUCUCAAAGCAACACAAAUUUAGCUCAAAUCAAUUAGCAACACAUUUCUAACUCUUGGCACUUGGGGAGAGUCUGAACUACUCCUGAUGGGAUGAAGCUAACGCCUUGAGAAUGAACUGAGAGGCAGGUCAGCCCAGGAAGCCUUUGUGGUUGUGCUUUACAAGAAGGCCAAAACGUGGGAGAAUGGGGCCCAACCACAACAAAUUAGGAUGAAAUUUUGAUUUUAUUUUUUUCUCUUGAGCUGAUGAAUGAAGCCCAGGACAUAGAAAAGCAGCUGACGGAAUAUUUUCCCCACCAAUGCCAGGAAGCUGAAGGAUCCUCCCAAAGAGCUGGAGCUCCUCUGCCCACAGCCUCCCCCAUCAGAUCAGACCUACAGUAGAAGACAGCAAGGAGUAAACACUUUGGACCACCAGCUACUACAACUCUAGAAAAGUGGAGGCACAGAUAUAUGGGUCCCAGAGCCCUGCAGGAGCUGGAAUGGAUACUUGCUAAAACACGGGACAUGAGAUUCUCUUUUGUUGGGAAGGGUGCUGUUGUGGCCCUUCUUGGGUUCUGGACUGUCUUACAGUGUCUGACUUUGGUUUCUGUGGAUCAUGAUAAGCAUUACUCUUUUCUUCCCCUUCAAAUAUCCCACAGCUUCAAACUUACCUGAAUGCAGGUUCCCUGUAAAAAUACCAUCAUGUAAUUUGCACGUUAGCAAUCAGUUUGAUGAACGGCAAAAUUGUUCAAAUGGGAAAGAGGAGAGAGAUAGUGUGGUCUUUUGAUGGAAGGGGAGAGGCAAGAGCCAGAUAAAUCAGAAGAGAGAGGCUCUUGCACCCCAAGCCUUAAUUUCCUUGUAAGAAUUGAUGCUCACUCAGUGGUGACACUGAGCAUGUGAAAGCUCAACUGUGACACUCCUUAGAAAGUAGUACAGGGAUUUUUUUCCUUCCCAUUAUCAACUCAUUAAAGGAAGUUAAAAGUACUUACUCUGUCCCACACACAGUGUGUGUGUGACAAUGUCGGAAACAUUGACUGACUCAUAAUAAAUUUGAGAUUGGAUAACAAUUUAUACUACCUUUAUACGUCUCUCCUCGCCCCAAAUUGAAUCAUUAAAAAACAUUUAGUAAGAUCGAAUGUGCAGUUCUGUGGGCAGAACUCCACAAGUCAAAAUAUUCCUGAAUUUAAAUACUCCUGAGGUUUAACAAAUUACUCUGCAAUGCAAUUUGGGAUUUUACUCUAAGGAAGUACAACAGAGGCACACUCCCUUAAUUUCCAUUGCUCCGUCACAGAUCAGUUGCCUAACAUUCUUCCCUUAGCGUAGCUCCCAGUUGUUGUAUGUAGAAAAGCACUCCACUGAUUCUAACUUGAAAGGUGUGUGCCUCGUGUGCUCAGAGAGCAUGUGACAAUCGACAUAAUGAAAAAUCAAACAUUGUUUUGUUGUGUUGCUCCCUACCUCUUUCUUGGAGGUCUCUUCAUCUUCAAUUCCCAUGGGCUGGCCUGGUUCACCAUCUGGCUGUUGGAAAGGAAACUAAACACAUUUUCUUUUCUUCUUUUCUUUUCUUUUUUUGAUGUGUAAUAACCGUAGAACAAUCCAAGCUCA